GACGAACGCUGGCGGCGUGCCUAACACAUGCAAGUCGCGCGAGAAAGCCCCUUCGGGGGUGAGUACAGCGGCGGACGGGUGAGUAACACGUGAGCGAUCUACCCGGUGCGGGGGACAACCCAGGGAAACCUGGGCUAAUACCGCAUACAGCGGAGGGAGUAGGUGCCCUUCGUGAAAGCUGGCCUCUCCUUGGAAGCCAGCGCCGCCGGAGGAGCUCGCGGCCUAUCAGCUAGUUGGUGGGGUAACGGCCUACCAAGGCUAUGACGGGUAGCUGACGUGAGAGCGUGAGCAGCCACACUGGGACUGAGACACGGCCCAGACUCCUACGGGAGGCAGCAGUGGGGAAUAUUGCGCAAUGGGCGAAAGCCUGACGCAGCGACGCCGCGUGGGGGAGGAAGGCCUUAGGGUUGUAAACCCCUGUCAGGUGGGACGAACCCCGGGUCGAUAAAUAAUCGGCUCGGCUGACGGUACCACCAGAGGAAGCUCCGGCUAACUCCGUG
rnacentral:rRNA from 1 species